AAUAAGUGUAGUUUUGCACAGUUAAUUUCUAACGUUUGAACGUCCGUCUUAUUUGAAUUUUUUUUAUAAUUACUAUUUUUAUUGUUAUUAUAUGAUAAAGUAUUUUUAUUGUUAUUAAAAAAUAUAAAUAAAAUGGAUGGUUAAAUGUUGGACACGGAUAUGUACGGGUGUACUUAUU
rfam:Oryza rufipogon genomic scaffold, chr10